rnacentral:rRNA from 1 species
CCUACGGGAGGCAGCAGUGGGGAAUAUUGGACAAUGGGGGGAACCCUGAUCCAGCCAUGCCGCGUGUGUGAAGAAGGCCCUCGGGUUGUAAAGCACUUUCAGUGAGGAAGAACGCCUGGUGGUUAAUACCCAUCAGGAAAGACAUCACUCACAGAAGAAGCACCGGCUAACUCCGUGCCAGCAGCCGCGGUAAUACGGAGGGUGCGAGCGUUAAUCGGAAUUACUGGGCGUAAAGCGCGCGUAGGUGGCUUGAUAAGCCGGUUGUGAAAGCCCCGGGCUCAACCUGGGAACGGCAUCCGGAACUGUCAAGCUAGAGUGUAGGAGAGGAAGGUAGAAUUCCCGGUGUAGCGGUGAAAUGCGUAGAGAUCGGGAGGAAUACCAGUGGCGAAGGCGGCCUUCUGGACUGACACUGACACUGAGGUGCGAAAGCGUGGGUAGCAAACAGGAUUAGAUACCCGGGUAGUC